rnacentral:lncRNA from 1 species
GUGCUGUGGGUCUGUCCUGUGUGUUGAAGUCCUGUGUUCUGAAAAUUGCAGGAAGCCCUUCUCGCCUGAGUGUCGGGGAGCAGCCAGACGUCACCCACGACCCCUAUGAGUUUCUUCAGUCUCCAGAGCCUGCGGCCUCUGCCAAGACCUAACUCUAGACCACCUUCAGCUCUUUUAUUUUAUUUUUUUAGUUUUAUUUUUCACGUGUAGAGUUUUUGUCAUCAGACAAGGACUUUGAUCCUGUCCCCUUUGGCAUGCGGGAAGCAGCCCCGGGGAGGUAAUGAAUUGUCUGUGGUAUCAUGUCAGCAGAGUCUCCAAGCCCCACGAACCCUGAGGAGUGGAGUCAUACGCGAAGGCCAUAUGGCCAUCGUGUCAGCAGAGAGAGUCUCUGUACACAGCCCCGUGAACCCUGAGGAGUGGAGUCAUACACGAAGGGCGUGUGGCCGUCGUGUCAGCAGAGAGAGUCUCUGUACACAGCCCCGUGAACCCUGAGGAGUGGAGUCAUACGCGAAGGGUGUGUGGCCAGGCUGCAGAGCUGCGUGCCGUCUGUGUCCGAGCAUCACGUGUGGCUCCAGCCCUUGUUUCUGCCAGUGUAGACACCUCUGUCUGCCCCACUGUCCCGGGGUCGCUCUUGGGAGGCACAGGCAUGGGUGUGUCUGGCCUCAUUCUGUAUCAGUCCUGCGUGUUCCUGUCAUAGUUUGUGUUUCCCAGGCAGGCCAUGGUAGGGGCCUCGCAGGGGCCAUUGGGGAGCACAGGGCCAGGCUGGGGUGAGGAGAGCUCCCCUGUUUUCUGUUUAAUUGAUGAGCCUGGGAAAGGAGUGUGUUCUGCCUGCCCGUUACAGUGGAGCGUUCCGUGUCCAUAAAACGUUUUCUAACUGGGUGUUUACUGAGUGCCCAUUUAUGUUAGUAUUUGCAAAAUACCAUAAACACAGCUUCCAAUCACAAGACACAGAGCGCCAAAGUGCACCCGACUGCUCCCAGCACGCGAGGGUUGCUGUGUCCUACCAGCUGGUGGUGGUCCUCUGGCCCAGCUGUCGUGCCCACAGUGACGUCGGGUGCACCUGUGCGCCCACCAGCACCUCCUGCAGGGUGCCCUGCUCUGUGACCAUGGAAACUUGAAAGUGAAGAAGCCACACCUUCCAGAGGCCAGGCAUGGAUGGGAUCUCAGUCGUCCUGGGGGCAGCGGCAUUUGUGACUCUGAAGAGGCCCCGGGGGCAGUAUGCAGUGCCUGGGCCCUCACACCAUGGGACCACAGGGCUGACCCUCGCAGGCCAUUGACGCUGGGUGAGCAGGGUGGCCGGUGCUCUGUGUGGCAUGGGUGAGCAUUCUCAGGUCCUUCCUGGGCCCUGGUGGAAGUGGGAGCAAAGCCAUUGCCUCUGGACAGAGCAUGAAGAAGCCACAGUAGCUAACUCACAGGAAGAGUUUGUGAACAGGGCUCAGACGAGGGGCAGCGCCUGGGCUGCACCCUCCGUGCUGGCUGGGAAGCAGACUCCCCGCUUGUCUGCACAGCUGCACCUGCCGUCCUGUCCCUGGAUGCCACCAAGUGCACCGUUCCAGUGGCUGCCUGCAGGCUCUGCUCCCCACCCCCAACUCUGGGAGGACGCCCUUGCUGCAGGGAGGCUGGGAAAGGCAGCAUCUGCAGUCCCAAGCUCAGUGGGGCUGUGUACCGCACCCAGCUUCCACUGGGGCUCCAGAGGCCAGGAUUCCCUUAACAGGACAGACACUUCCCACAGCCGGGUCCCCAGGGUACAGCCUUGGAGAGCUUGGGCUCAGGAACAACGUGGCUCCUGACAGCAGGUUGCUGUGGAGUCAGGUGUCCUCCCAGCAUCCGAUCUCUGAACACCUCGCUCCACAUCCACUGUGCCUGACCCCUCCCCGAGCUCACA